CCGCUCGCAAAGUGGCUGUCAUGUGUCCCCCAAUAAUCAUGCGUUUCAUAUCACAGCCAGCUUUGAUGAGCGGGA
rfam:Daphnia magna strain Xinb3 scaffold00024, whole genome shotgun sequence.